rnacentral:rRNA from 1 species
UAUGCCUAACAAGGCUUCAACGGGUAACGAACGAUCGGGGUCGGAUAUCGGAGAGGGAGCUUGAGAAACGGCUACCACUUCCAAGGAAGGCAGCAGGCGCGCAAAUUACCCACUCUCGGCAUGAGGAGGUAGCGAUGAAAUGUAUCGAUGCGGGGCCAUUAGUGCCUUCGUAAUCGGAAUGAGUACACUUUAAAUCCUAUAACGAGGACCUAUUGGAGGGCAAGUCUGGUGCCAGCAGCCGCGGUAAUUCCAGCUCCAAUAGCGUAUAUUAAUGCUGCUGCGGUUAAAAAGCUCGUAGUCGGAUCUGGGUUCCCGGCGGGUACCGCAUGUUGCUUCAUGCAGCAUGUUGUGUACUAUACGUGUCGCUUCGGCGGCACUGCCAGUGUAACGCUGUCUCUUGUAGGCACGUUGCGCUGGUCGCCGGAACCACGGGCCGGGUUGAGCAGCAUGCUCUUUAUUGAGUGUGUUGUUUACUCGGUGCGUUUACUUUGAAAAAAUUGGAGUGCUCAAAGCAAGCGUACAGUCGCUAUGCGGCUUGAACAGUGGUGCAUGGAAUAAUGGAAUAGGGCCUCGGUUCUAUUUUGUUGGUUUUAAGAUAUCGAGGUAAUGAUUAAGAGGGACAGGCGGGGACGUUUGUAUUGCGACGUUAGAGGUGAAAUUCUUGGAUCGUCGCAAGACACACCAAUGCGAAAGCAUUCGUCUAGGAUGUUUUCAUUGAUCAAGAACGAAAGUUAGAGGUUCGAAGGCGAUCAGAUACCGCCCUAGUUCUAACCAUAAACGAUGCCAACCAGCGAUCCGUCGGUGUUCUCAAUUUAGAAUGACCCGACGGGCAGCUUCCGGGAAACCAAAGUUUUCGGGUUCCGGGGGGAGUAUGGUUGCAAAGCUGAAACUUAAAGGAAUUGACGGA